AACGAACGCUGGCGGCAGGCUUAACACAUGCAAGUCGAACGGGUGUAGCAAUACAUCAGUGGCAGACGGGUGAGUAACACGUGGGAACCUUCCUCGUUGUACGGGACAACUCAGGGAAACUUGAGCUAAUACCGUAUACGUCCGAGAGGAGAAAGAUUUAUCGCAAUGAGACGGGCCCGCGUCGGAUUAGCUAGUUGGUAGGGUAACGGCCUACCAAGGCGACGAUCCGUAGCUGAUCUGAGAGGAUGAUCAGCCACACUGGGACUGAGACACGGCCCAGACUCCUACGGGAGGCAGCAGUGGGGAAUCUUGGACAAUGGGCGCAAGCCUGAUCCAGCCAUGCCGCGUGAGUGAAGAAGGCCUUAGGGUUGUAAAGCUCUUUUGCCAGGGACGAUAAUGACGGUACCUGGAGAAUAAGCCCCGGCAAACUUCGUG
rnacentral:rRNA from 1 species